GGAGUAGCAGCCUUGCAGCUACACACCUCAACCGCACAGACUACUCAUGUAGUUCUCGACUCCUCGGGCUGGAGCAUUCCACAAACUGGUGCCGCAGCCUACACCGCCUGGGCUUCCACCAAAACCUUCACCGUCGGCGAUACUCUUGGUAAGUACUAUAAUUAAACUUCAUUUAAUCUUUCUUUUUCUUUUCAAAAUAAAUACUAGUCAACAAUUAAUCUAUGCAUCCUCAAAACUAUAAUAAUAUACAAGUAGAGUAGGUAUGUUUCUAAUUAAAAAUGAAAUCCGUGCUUCAAAUUACGAAUGAUUUGAUUAAUGUUGAUAUCUGAUGAUAUAUAUAUAUGUAGUGUUUAACUUUCCCGCAACUGUACACACCAUUGCUGAGGUCAAAAAGCCGGCUUUCGACGCAUGCACCACCACCGCAACCCUCUCUCAAUGGACCACGCCGCCGGCCAGGGUUACUCUCAAGUCUCCCGGCGAGCACUACUACCUCUGUACCAUAAUAGGUCACUGUACCUUGGGUCAGAAGUUGGCCAUCAAUGUCACGGCCGCCGCAUCUACUCCUCCUCCGGCACCUACACCUUCACCCUCCGCCACUCCUCCACCGGCAGCCGCAUCUACUCCUCCGCCGGCACCUACACCUUCACCCCCGGCCACUCCUCCACCGUCAGCCGCCCCUUCGCCCGUCGCCAGUCCUACACCGGCAGCAUCUGGUCCCUCCUCAUCUCCUUCUGCCACACCUCCGGCACCUUCCUCCGGCGCCACUCCUCCCGCCCCAGGCUCAAACACCACUCCAUCAUCACCAUCUCCGGCCAGCGUCACCGCUCCUCCUCCACCUAACUCGGCAGCAUCUUUUGCGGCCGCGGCCUUACCGGUUACAUUUUUAUCGGUUGUCAUAGCUUUGUUUUAUUGAUUAGAUAGAUAGAUGUCACAAUUUUUGUUUGUGAUACAUUUGGGUGUGAUUUUUGAUAUUAGUAUUCUACAGAUUGUUGUGUAAUU
rnacentral:lncRNA from 1 species